CAAGGGAACAAUCAGGGAAGAAGGAACGCAAGACGGUGGAAGCAUGCCAACCUAUUAAACCGCAAGUCAGAGAUCAAACCAUGUACUUGAAUCUCUCAAGUUCCCGGCUUAACCCUCUUCCAAGUAGCAUUGCGAAGCUGAUCUCAGACAAACGCAGCCCAUGGAAGAAUGCUAAGUGCUCGUGAUUGGUUAAAACUCAAAUAAAAAGUUGAAGUGGAGACGAUAUAUACCUGUUCCAAAAUACAGAUCCUCAUUUGAAAAUGGAAAAAGAAAAGAAAUGGAGGCAUUGUGUGAUAUUUGCCUAAAUAUAACUAAAGAGAUCCAUUUAUUUUUAGUGUUUGAUUAAAAACCCUCAAAGGAAAAGAGAAAUUUUGAUCUUUGAGAAGAGCUGUUUCAUCACAGGGUGAAGUUGUUUCCUGAGCCCUUUGAUCUGAAAUGACCUUGCGACCUGGAACCAGCAGACAGCCUGAGGGAGGCAGUGCAUGUUCUGAGCCAGGGCCUCAGGAGGCCUGCAGCUGCCAUUCUGCUUCUGUUGGAACAUGACCUCCUUGAGAACACUCCCAGGCCUGACUGCAGGGUGGGGAGACCACACAGAGCAGAGCCGAGCCACCGGGAUGAGGCCCCUAGAUCACCCAGCUCCCAGCUGACCACAGAUCAUGAGUGAUCCCGUUUCUCCCUAGGUCAAGGGUGAUGUUUUGCUCAGAGAAAACUGAAGUUUGGAUUGUUCCAGUCCUGCAUCACAUCCUGUUUCAGGCUGCCCUAAAACAAAACCAGAAACAACCAUCACCACAAAACACCAUACCUUCAAUAGUCUUCUCAGUGUUCAGAAUAAAGGCUCUGGUUUUCCCUUGGGCUCAAUUUU